UGCAUCCAUAGGCAUCUAAAGCAAGCCACCAAGCCAUUUGACCCACAAGCUUCCUAAGGAAGCUAUUGCACCCAUCGUCCAAGACAAGUCAACAAAAGAGAAAAGAAAAACUAAGAACUAAUCCUAAGCAUUUCUAUCCUCCUACCCGUCGACUCUCACCCAAGAAAAAGAAAUAAAAAUUUAUCUUCCUUUCCAAGAGCUAACCGAUGCACACCUUCCUCUUCUCUUCUCCUCUUUUCUUUUCAUCUUCAAGAAAACAAGCUCCUUUAUCUCCCUCAAGCUUGUGACUCCAUAGUAAUGGAAGAAGAAAAAUAUUUUCUUCAAAGUUUGGAACCAAAGCUUGAUCUUAUCUUCCAAAGGAUGAAAUAUUGAAGUGCUAUCACUUUGUUCUUCAUCUACACGGGUUUAUCACCAAUUGGUCCUCCACUUGUGUUUUGAGAGAAGCUAAGAGCUCAAGGUAAUGAUGAAAAGGCUAGGGAGCAAGGCAUUACUACAGAGGGAGAGGCAGACACUUAGGACCUUCCCUAACUAGAACAUUUAUGUUACGGAUGAUGGGUUAUGUUUAUGUAUAGACGUUUUAUGUUGGGAUGGACUCUGAGAGUCUCUUAUGGAUGAAUGUUCGAAUAGAAUGUCCAUCAGGUGUUCCCUUUAUUAAAUGAAAAAUUUAGAGUGCACGUGUGUCAUAUCCAUGCCGAUCGCAUGUUAUUAGAAAAAGAAAGAAAAGA